GACGAACGCUGGCGGCGUGCUUAACACAUGCAAGUCGAACGGAAAGGCCCUGCUUUUGUGGGGUGCUCGAGUGGCGAACGGGUGAGUAACACGUGAGUAACCUGCCCUUGACUUUGGGAUAACUCCAGGAAACUGGGGCUAAUACCGGAUAGGAGCUCCUGCUGCAUGGUGGGGGUUGGAAAGUUUCGGCGGUUGGGGAUGGACUCGCGGCUUAUCAGCUUGUUGGUGGGGUAGUGGCUUACCAAGGCUUUGACGGGUAGCCGGCCUGGGAGGGUGACCGGCGACCUUGGGACUGCGGUACGGACCAGUCGCCUACGGGAGGCAACAGUGGGGAAUAUUGCACAGUGGGCGGAAGCCUGAUGCAGCAACGCCGCGUGCGGGAUGACGGCCUUCGGGUUGUAAACCGCUUUCGCCUGUGACGAAGCGUGAGUGACGGUAAUGGGUCAAGAAGCACCGGCUAACUACGUG
rnacentral:rRNA from 1 species